UGUCCUGUAAUUGUCCUUGGAAGGGAAAAUGAUGGCUGUACUGACGUAGCAUAAAAACAAAGGCUCUGAGGCUGUGGGGCCCCAUGUACAGCCCCCUGAAGCUAAUGGACAACCAAGGACCUUAAUGGGCUCUGGACCAGGCUCAGAGCUGCCUAAUGGAAAUUAGAUUCUUUGCUGCAACCUCAUGUAAUUGCCACUGAACUUGGGACGAGGCUUUCCACUCCUCUCCACGCAGCUGACUCAAGCCCUGAAACAGUGGGGAAUCUCAAUUUUUUCCCGAUUGUUUGAGGAAAGAUGCUGCUUUGGCUUUUGGAUACCAUGUUCAAUGCAAGUUUUGGCAAAACUGGACUUCUGUACAAAAUCAUAAAAGUCAGAGAGGGGAAAGGUCUACUGGGAUAUCCACUGCAUGUGUUGGCCCUACUGGAAUAUCCAUUGCAUCUAUUGCGCCUGAGAGCACGUCUUACAAGGGUAGGUAUCUAAGACAGGCACCAUUUCUUUAGCAUCUAUUGCCUCCCAAUCUCUAAUACGUUUAGCCUUAUGACACCCUGUGAGUCAGGACAGUGUUGUCCUCCUCUUUUACUGAUAGGGAAGACUACAGCCCAGAUCCUCCAUGGAGUUAGAUGCCUAUAUACCUCUCACUAUUUGGACCUACAUAACUUUCCAGUGUCACACCGGAAGACUUAGGCAGAGAUAGCAAUUGUACCCAGACUGAUGUCCUAACCUCUGAACUAUUCUUCCUCCUAUUACAUCUAGCAGCAGGGAUGGCCUUUCCACAAUGGACCUGUAGCCUGGGUUAGAAAAGGAAAGAGGAAGAUUGCUCAGCACAACAGAAGCAAAUGCACCCAACAGCACAAUCCAAGUAAUACUGUGUGCAUGGGUGUAUUAAGACUACAGACAUUUGCAUAUGAGUUUGCCUAAGGCCAAGCGAAUUGUUUUAGUGGAAAUCCAAGCCCACACUGAUCCUGUCACGUUUGGCUAUGCAGGACACAGAAAGAUCGGAUCAGCAAGGCCCUUUGGAGAUGCCUUGCAUUCUGACGCCGUGAGCCUGAGACACGUGGAUGCGCUAUCGUAUCAGGUACCACAGAAAUGUGAGGAAUUAUUACAGAAGAGUUCUUCCAGCUGCAUCAAAUCUGUCUGCGCGUGUGUGAAAACGCUCCCCAAAGGCCCAUCAAGAGGAAUCUGAGAUUGGCUGAGUCCAGAGUUCAUCUGGCUCUGUUCAAAAUACUUCUUAAUAGGAGAAUGUGCCGUUUAUAUUAUCGGGCAGCUUUUGUUUCUUUUAUUUUUUCAUCGCAGCCUUGGUGCCUUGGCUCGCUCUAGACAAUAAAACUUAAGCUUCUAUCAACUGCUAUUAUAGGUUGUU